UACGUAGGGUGCAAGCGUUAAUCGGAAUUACUGGGCGUAAAGCGUGCGCAGGCGGUUUUGUAAGACAGGCGUGAAAUCCCCGGGCUCAACCUGGGAAUUGCGCUUGUGACUGCAAAGCUGGAGUGCGGCAGAGGGGGAUGGAAUUCCGCGUGUAGCAGUGAAAUGCGUAGAUGUGCGGAGGAACACCGAUGGCGAAGGCAAUCCCCUGGGCCUGCACUGACGCUCAUGCACGAAAGCGUGGGGAGCAAACAGG
rnacentral:rRNA from 1 species